rnacentral:rRNA from 1 species
GUAGGGUGCGAGCGUUAAUCGGAAUUACUGGGCGUAAAGCGUGCGCAGGCGGUUCGUUAUGUCUGUUGUGAAAGCCCCGGGCUCAACCUGGGAAUGGCAAUGGAAACUGGCGAGCUAGAGUGUGGCAGAGGGGGGUGGAAUUCCGCGUGUAGCAGUGAAAUGCGUAGAGAUGCGGAGGAACACCGAUGGCGAAGGCAGCCCCCUGGGCUAACACUGACGCUCAGGCACGAAAGCGUGGGGAGCAAACAGGAUUAGAUACCCUGGUAGUCCACGCCCUAAACGAUGAUCACUAGGUGUUGGCGGAGCGAUCUGCUGGUACCGUAGCUAACGCGUGAAGUGAUCCGCCUGGGGAGUACGGUCGCAAGAUUA